rnacentral:misc_RNA from 1 species
GAUGAAGAACGUAGCGAAAUGCGAUACGUAAUGUGAAUUGCAGAAUUCAGUGAAUCAUCGAAUCUUUGAACGCACAUUGCGCCCGCCAGCACUCUGGCGAGCAUGCCUGUUCGAGCGUCAUUUCAACCAUCAAGCCCCAGGCUUGUGUUGGAGCCCUGCGGCUGCCGCAGCCUCCCAAAACCAGUGGCGGGCUCGCUAUCACACCGAGUGCAGUAGUUUACUCUUCGCUCAGGGCGUGUGGCGGGUGCUAGCCGUGAAACCCCCAACUUCUCAAGGUUGACCUCGGAUCAGGUAGGAAUACCCGCUGAACUUAAGCAUAUCAAUAAGCGGAGGA